UCUGCCGUUUACGCUGCAUGAAGUUGUCUUUAUUGAUUACCAAUCACACCCACGUGUCGUCCACCUGUGUCUCGUAAGGUAAAACCUGUCUUUGUUGGCUUUAUUUAUUUAAUUUAAUUUAGCUUGUGUUUCACCCUGAACUGGAUUACCUACCGCUCCCCGUGUUACUCCCGUUUUGGAUUCAGUCUGCUGUGGAUUUUGACUGACUGGACCUGGAUCAUUAGGAGGAAUGAAGAUUGAACAGUUCUUGUUGGUAGAACAGCAGCGCACGGAUGGUCCGUACAUCACAGGAUAGACUUUGUGUAGAAAUCAGAAGUUUUGGUGGUGGCGAGGUGGAGGUUGGAGGGGUGGUGGUCUGACACUGGCAGACGACCUCUUGCUAAACAAGAACCCCACUCUAUGCUCACACCUGGUCGUCGGCCGUUCCUCCCAUCGCCCGUCACACUCUACACUCAAACCCUUACUGGUUUGCUACCGCUUGGCUAACAACUUAGCAUGGACUAAUGAUGCCAGUCGGACAUGGGCUGCUGCGUGUCAUGUUGCUGUUGGUUUUGUCCUUGGCGGGGGUGUGUUGCUUCCUAUACUUCCCAUUAGAUGCCGUCCCUUCUUUCCUCCCUCGGCAGCAGUUCUUCUUCUCUGCUGCGCGUAACUUUGGUCCUCUGCUGCACAACUUCCUUAACUUUUUUUCCUAGCGUAAAAGUCCAAUAAAGGGUCAGACAUCAUCUGCAAAUCUAAACAAGAAUGAAUGAAACUGACAGCACAGAAAAAAACGAAAAAUGUUGUAAAUAUAAGAGUGGCAUUAAUAUGUAUGCUGUUUGAAGCUGUCAACAUAAAAACACAUUUUAAAGAUGUGUAUGUAAAGGGUUUGUUUUUUUUAGAUCACAUCACUCUCUCAUCUCACAUCAGCAGUCAUGUCAUCUGGGGGGGUGGGGGGGUAUGAGGCA